UUACCAUGCAAGUCGAGCGGAGAGAGGUAGCUUGCUACUGAUCUUAGCGGCGGACGGGUGAGUAAUGCUUAGGAAUCUGCCUAUUAGUGGGGGACAACAUUUCGAAAGGAAUGCUAAUACCGCAUACGUCCUACGGGAGAAAGCAGGGGAUCUUCGGACCUUGCGCUAAUAGAUGAGCCUAAGUCGGAUUAGCUAGUUGGUGGGGUAAAGGCCUACCAAGGCGACGAUCUGUAGCGGGUCUGAGAGGAUGAUCCGCCACACUGGGACUGAGACACGGCCCAGACUCCUACGGGAGGCAGCAGUGGGGAAUAUUGGACAAUGGGCGCAAGCCUGAUCCAGCCAUGCCGCGUGUGUGAAGAAGGCCUUAUGGUUGUAAAGCACUUUAAGCGAGGAGGAGGCUACUUUAGUUAAUACCUAGAGAUAGUGGACGUUACUCGCAGAAUAAGCACCGGCUAACUCUGUGCCAGCAGCCGCGGUAAUACAGAGGGUGCAAGCGUUAAUCGGAUUUACUGGGCGUAAAGCGCGCGUAGGCGGCUAAUUAAGUCAAAUGUGAAAUCCCCGAGCUUAACUUGGGAAUUGCAUUCGAUACUGGUUAGCUAGAGUGUGGGAGAGGAUGGUAGAAUUCCAGGUGUAGCGGUGAAAUGCGUAGAGAUCUGGAGGAAUACCGAUGGCGAAGGCAGCCAUCUGGCCUAACACUGACGCUGAGGUGCGAAAGCAUGGGGAGCAAACAGGAUUAGAUACCCUGGUAGUCCAUGCCGUAAACGAUGUCUACUAGCCGUUGGGGCCUUUGAGGCUUUAGUGGCGCAGCUAACGCGAUAAGUAGACCGCCUGGGGAGUACGGUCGCAAGACUAAAACUCAAAUGAAUUGACGGGGGCCCGCACAAGCGGUGGAGCAUGUGGUUUAAUUCGAUGCAACGCGAAGAACCUUACCUGGCCUUGACAUAGUAAGAACUUUCCAGAGAUGGAUUGGUGCCUUCGGGAACUUACAUACAGGUGCUGCAUGGCUGUCGUCAGCUCGUGUCGUGAGAUGUUGGGUUAAGUCCCGCAACGAGCGCAACCCUUUUCCUUAUUUGCCAGCGAGUAAUGUCGGGAACUUUAAGGAUACUGCCAGUGACAAACUGGAGGAAGGCGGGGACGACGUCAAGUCAUCAUGGCCCUUACGGCCAGGGCUACACACGUGCUACAAUGGUCGGUACAAAGGGUUGCUACCUAGCGAUAGGAUGCUAAUCUCAAAAAGCCGAUCGUAGUCCGGAUUGGAGUCUGCAACUCGACUCCAUGAAGUCGGAAUCGCUAGUAAUCGCGGAUCAGAAUGCCGCGGUGAAUACGUUCCCGGGUCUUUAACACACCGAACAGACAAAUGUUAGGAUUGCCCCCCUGGAAGUGAUGCCGUA
rnacentral:rRNA from 1 species